rnacentral:rRNA from 1 species
GUUAAGCGACUAAGCGUACACGGUGGAUGCCCUGGCAGUCAGAGGCGAUGAAGGACGUGCUAAUCUGCGAUAAGCGUCGGUAAGGUGAUAUGAACCGUUAUAACCGGCGAUUUCCGAAUGGGGAAACCCAGUGUGAUUCGUCACACUAUCAUUAACUGAAUCCAUAGGUUAAUGAGGCGAACCGGGGGAACUGAAACAUCUAAGUACCCCGAGGAAAAGAAAUCAACCGAGAUUCCCCCAGUAGCGGCGAGCGAACGGGGAGCAGCCCAGAGCCUGAAUCAGUGUGUGUGUUAGUGGAAGCGUCUGGAAAGGCGCGCGAUACAGGGUGACAGCCCCGUACACAAAAAUGCACAUACUGUGAGCUCGAUGAGUAGGGCGGGACACGUGGUAUCCUGUCUGAAUAUGGGGGGACCAUCCUCCAAGGCUAAAUACUCCUGACUGACCGAUAGUGAACCAGUACCGUGAGGGAAAGGCGAAAAGAACCCCGGCGAGGGGAGUGAAAAAGAACCUGAAACCGUGUACGUACAAGCAGUGGGAGCACAGAGCAAUCUGUGUGACUGCGUACCUUUUGUAUAAUGGGUCAGCGACUUAUAUUCUGUAGCAAGGUUAACCGAAUAGGGGAGCCGAAGGGAAACCGAGUCUUAACUGGGCGUUAAGUUGCAGGGUAUAGACCCGAAACCCGGUGAUCUAGCCAUGGGCAGGUUGAAGGUUGGGUAACACUAACUGGAGGACCGAACCGACUAAUGUUGAAAAAUUAGCGGAUGACUUGUGGCUGGGGGUGAAAGGCCAAUCAAACCGGGAGAUAGCUGGUUCUCCCCGAAAGCUAUUUAGGUAGCGCCUCGUGAAUUCAUCUCCGGGGGUAGAGCACUGUUUCGGCAAGGGGGUCAUCCCGACUUACCAACCCGAUGCAAACUGCGAAUACCGGAGAAUGUUAUCACGGGAGACACACGGCGGGUGCUAACGUCCGUCGUGAAGAGGGAAACAACCCAGACCGCCAGCUAAGGUCCCAAAGUCAUGGUUAAGUGGGAAACGAUGUGGGAAGGCCCAGACAGCCAGGAUGUUGGCUUAGAAGCAGCCAUCAUUUAAAGAAAGCGUAAUAGCUCACUGGUCGAGUCGGCCUGCGCGGAAGAUGUAACGGGGCUAAACCAUGCAC